UUAUGUUACUGCAAGAACUCAGGCAUUUCAUCAGUAUUCUGCACACCAGCGGACACUCAGUAACGGUUGUUGACAGAUGAGACAAGAAAAAGUCUCACCAACAAACGGCAUUAACAGGUAAUGUUGCAAAUCAGUCACAGAACUAAGCGAAGAGGAAUGCGGAAUAGAAAGAGUAACAAUCUUUUGCCAAAUCGUACAUUCAGAGAAAAUUAAACCAGCACAGAUACUCCAAGAAAAAGACAAUUAGAAGAUACUUGGUAAGGCCCAAAAUAGCCACGAGGAAAAACACACACACACGCAAUUGCCACUUCCCCUACAGUUUGACAGUCACAGAUUUGGAUAAUUAUAGUAGAAAUUGUCUGCUUUGGAAACACACUAAGACCACACCCUGGGGCUGCGAAUCUGGACUUUAAAUGCUGAGAAUAAGCAGUAAAUUGGACGGUCUGCGCGCACAGGUGGAAGGGAGUGGGGGGGCAAAAAACACAGCGACUUCAACGCGAGUGACCAGAGGGCUGGGUGUCGAGGCGUGGCGGAGUCCGAAGGAGAAGGGGGUGUGGAUCUGGGGACGAGCACCGGCAGACGGCGUGCGGAGCGGCGGCUGCAGGCAGGAGAGGGAGCUGGCGGCGGGGGCGAACGUCUGCGCAGCAGGGGAAGAGCCGGGGAGCCAAAGUGACACACAGCCCUGCUUAUGCCUGAAAGACCUUCUAUGAAGUAUAAAAAGAUUGGCAAUGGAUGAAAUUACAUUUGAUGGCAUGGAAGUGAGUGAGGCCAGGAGACCUACGAACAAACAAGUGCUCUAUCACUAGGCAGCAAAGC